UUAUUAGAAAUAUCAAUGGCAACAUGAUCAAAUUUAAAUUUACAAGAUAGAGCUUCACCUUUAAUAGAACAACUUACAUUCUUUCAUGAUCAUGCUCUAUUAAUUCUUAUUAUAAUUACUAUUUUAAUUGGAUAUUUAAUAUAUAUACUAUUUUUUAAUUAUUAUACAAAUCGUUAUUUACUAUCUGGUCAAAUAAUUGAAAUCAUUUGAACAAUUAUACCUACAAUUAUUUUAUUAUUUAUUGCAUUUCCAUCUCUUCGAUUACUAUAUCUUUUAGAUGAAGUUAAUAAUCCAACUAUUACAUUAAAAACUAUUGGGCAUCAAUGAUACUGAAGUUAUGAAUACUCUGAUUUUAAUAAUUUAGAAUUUGACUCUUACAUAAUUCCUAUUAAUGAAAUUCGAAUUAUUAUUUCUGCCACAGAUGUUCUUCACUCAUGAACAAUUCCAGCCUUAGGGGUAAAAGUAGACGCCUCUCCUGGUCGAUUAAAUCAAACUAAUUUUUAUAUUUACCGACCCGGUUUAUUUUAUGGCCAAUGUUCUGAAAUUUGCGGAGCCAAUCAUAGUUUUAUACCUAUUGUUAUUGAAUCAACAAUUCCAAAAACAUUUAUUCAAUGAAUUAAAAAUAAUAUUUCAUUAGAUAACUUAAAGUAAGUAAUGGUCUCUUAAACCACAAUAUAGUAAUUAACGAAUACUUCUAAUGAUUAAAAAAUUAGUUAAAAUUAUAACAUUAGCUUGUCAAACUAAAAUUAUUUAUAUAAAUAUUUUUUAAUUCCACAAAUAGCCCCAUUAAUAUGAUUAACCUUAUUUAUUUUUUUUUUAUUUAUAUAUUUAUUAUUUAAUAUUAUAAAUUACUUUUCUUUUACAUUAGAAAAUAUAAAUAAAAAUACAAAUAAAUCUUUAAAUAAAUCUCAAUAUAAUUGAAAAUGAUAAGUAACCUUUUUUCAGUAUUUGACCCCUCUACCACAAUUAUAAAUUUUUCAUUAAAUUGAAUUAGAACUAUUUUAGGUAUUAUUUUUAUUCCUAUUAGAUUUUGAUUCAUUCCUUCUCGUUAUCACAUUUUAUGAAAUAAAAUUACUAUAACUCUUAAUAAUGAAUUUAAUACUUUACUUGGAGAAAAUAAGCAUCAAGGAAGAACUUUUUUAUUUAUUUCUUUAUUUUCUAUUAUUUUAUUUAAUAAUUUUUUAGGAUUAUUUCCUUAUAUUUUUACUUCAUCUAGUCAUUUAACUUUAACACUUUCUUUAGCUCUUCCUUUAUGAUUAAGUUUUAUAUUAUUUGGAUGAAUUAAUCACAUACAACACAUAUUUGCUCAUCUUGUACCCCAAGGAACUCCUUCAGUUUUAAUACCUUUUAUAGUGGUAAUUGAAACAAUUAGAAAUAUUAUUCGUCCAGGAACUCUAGCUGUUCGACUAAUAGCAAAUAUAAUUGCAGGUCAUCUAUUAAUAACUUUAUUAGGAAAUACAGGGCCUUCACUCUCAUAUUACCUUAUUUCAUUUCUACUAAUUACCCAAAUUGCACUUUUAGUAUUAGAAUCAGCUGUUGCUAUAAUUCAAUCUUAUGUAUUUGCUGUCUUAAGAACUUUAUACUCUAGAGAAGUAAUUUAAUUUAA